CAAGUAGAACGCUGAAGAGAGGAGCUUGCUCUUCUUGGAUGAGUUGCGAACGGGUGAGUAACGCGUAGGUAACCUGCCUGGUAGCGGGGGAUAACUAUUGGAAACGAUAGCUAAUACCGCAUAAAAUGGAUUAUCGCAUGAUAAUGCAUUGAAAGGUGCAAAUGCAUCACUACCAGAUGGACCUGCGUUGUAUUAGCUAGUUGGUGGGGUAACGGCUCACCAAGGCGACGAUACAUAGCCGACCUGAGAGGGUGAUCGGCCACACUGGGACUGAGACACGGCCCAGACUCCUACGGGAGGCAGCAGUAGGGAAUCUUCGGCAAUGGACGGAAGUCUGACCGAGCAACGCCGCGUGAGUGAAGAAGGUUUUCGGAUCGUAAAGCUCUGUUGUAAGAGAAGAACGAGUGUGAGAGUGGAAAGUUCACACUGUGACGGUAUCUUACCAGAAAGGGACGGCUAACUACGUGCCAGCAGCCGCGGUAAUACGUAGGUCCCGAGCGUUGUCCGGAUUUAUUGGGCGUAAAGCGAGCGCAGGCGGUUAGAUAAGUCUGAAGUUAAAGGCUGUGGCUUAACCAUAGUACGCUUUGGAAACUGUUUAACUUGAGUGCAAGAGGGGAGAGUGGAAUUCCAUGUGUAGCGGUGAAAUGCGUAGAUAUAUGGAGGACACCGGUGGCGAAA
rnacentral:rRNA from 1 species